rnacentral:misc_RNA from 1 species
CAAAUUGCCCUCCUCUUUGCCUAUAGUUACAACUGGGUAGCUCCCUUUCUCAUGGUGUUGUGUUGUUCUUUCUCUCUUCUCAUAUGCAUAGUAGUUUUAUCCUCCCUUCUGCACUACUUCAAUCCUUCUCUCUUCCCACACACGUAGUAGCAAAAAUGACGAUGUUUUCUCUCGCUCUGCUCUUUGCUCUCUCCGCCUGCUCUUCCCUCUUUUACGCACUAAAGGUUCACUUACUCUUCCUCAAAUUUUGGUUUCGUUCACCUGCUUCCUUCUCUUGCUUCUGCUUCCUUAUUUUCACGAGAGGUUAGUCGAAUUUUCACCUACUUGAUUUGAUAAUUG